UACGUAGGGGGCUAGCGUUGUCCGGAUUUAUUGGGCGUAAAGAGCGUGUAGGCGGCCAGGUAGGUCUGCUGUGAAAACUCGAGGCUUAACCUCGAGAUGUCGGCGGAAACCAUCUGGCUAGAGUCCGGAAGAGGAGAGUGGAAUUCCUGGUGUAGCGGUGAAAUGCGCAGAUAUCAGGAAGAACACCCGUGGCGAAGGCGGCGUCUCUGGGACGGUACUGACGCUGAAGACGCGGAAAGCGUGGGGAGCGAACAGG
rnacentral:rRNA from 1 species